GAUGAAGAACGCAGCGAAAUGCGAUAAUUAAUGUGAAUUGCAGAAUUCCGUGAAUCAUCGAGUUUUUGAACGCACAUUGCGCCCCUUGGUAUUCCGAGGGGCAUGCCUGUUCGAGCGUCAUUAUAACCCCUCAAGCUCAGCUUGGUGUUGGGGCCUGCUGCACUGGCAGCCCUUAAAAUCAGUGGCGGCGCCAUCUGGCUCUAAGCGUAGUAAUUCUUCUCGCUAUGGAGUCCUGGUGGAUGCUUGCCAUCAACCCCCAAUUUUUCUAUGGUUGACCUCGGAUCAGGUAGGGAUACCCGCUGAACUUAAGCAUAUCAAUAAGCGGAGGA
rnacentral:misc_RNA from 1 species